GAUUUGAUCCUGGCUCAGAACGAACGCUGGCGGCAGGCUUAACACAUGCAAGUCGAACGCGAGUAGCAAUACUCGAGUGGCGCACGGGUGCGUAACGCGUGGGAACCUUCCUCGUAGUUCGGAAUAACUCAGGGAAACUUGAGCUAAUACCGAAUGCCUCCUUCGGGAGAAAGAUUUAUCGCUACGAGAUGGGCCCGCGUCAGAUUAGGUAGUUGGUAGGUAACGGCCUACCAAGCCGACGAUCUGUAGCUGGUCUGAGAGGAUGAUCAGCCACACUGGGACUGAGACACGGCCCAGACUCCUACGGGAGGCAGCAGUGGGGAAUAUUGGACAAUGGGGGCAACCCUGAUCCAGCCAUGCCGCGUGAGUGAAGAAGGCCUUCGGGUUGU
rnacentral:rRNA from 1 species